rnacentral:rRNA from 1 species
GUGGGGAAUCUUGCGCAAUGGGCGAAAGCCUGACGCAGCCAUGCCGCGUGAAUGAUGAAGGUCUUAGGAUCGUAAAAUUCUUUCACCGGGGACGAUAAUGACGGUACCCGGAGAAGAAGCCCCGGCUAACUUCGUGCCAGCAGCCGCGGUAAUACGAAGGGGGCUAGCGUUGCUCGGAAUUACUGGGCGUAAAGGGCGCGUAGGCGGACAGUUUAGUCAGAGGUGAAAGCCCAGGGCUCAACCUUGGAAUUGCCUUUGAUACUGGCUGUCUUGAGUACGGGAGAGGUGAGUGGAACUCCGAGUGUAGAGGUGAAAUUCGUAGAUAUUCGGAAGAACACCAGUGGCGAAGGCGACUCACUGGCCCGUUACUGACGCUGAGGCGCGAAAGCGUGGGGAGCAAACAGGAUUAGAAACCCCUGUAGUCC